rnacentral:rRNA from 1 species
CCUACGGGUGGCAGCAGUGGGGAAUAUUGCACAAUGGGGGAAACCCUGAUGCAGCGACGCCGCGUGAGUGAAGAAGUAUUUCGGUAUGUAAAGCUCUAUCAGCAGGGAAGAAAAUGACGGUACCUGACCACGAAGCCCCGGCUAACUACGUGCCAGCAGCCGCGGUAAUACGUAGGGGGCAAGCGUUAUCCGGAUUUACUGGGUGUAAAGGGAGCGUAGACGGUUGUGCAAGUCAGAAGUGAAAGGCCGGGGCUCAACUCCGGGACUGCUUUUGAAACUGUGAAACUGGAGUGCAGGAGAGGUAAGCGGAAUGCCUGGUGUAGCGGUGAAAUGCGUAGAUAUCAGGAGGAACACCAGUUGCGAAGGCGGCUUACGAGUCUAUAACUGACGUUGAGGCUCGAAAGCGUGGGGAGCAAACAGGAUUAGAUACCCGAGUAGUC